CAAAGGAGCAAUCCGCUGAAAGAUGGGCUCGCGUCCGAUUAGGUAGUUGGCGGGGCAACGGCCCACCAAGCCGACGAUCGGUAGCCGGACUGAGAGGUUGAACGGCCACAUUGGGACUGAGACACGGCCCAGACUCCUACGGGAGGCAGCAGUGAGGGAUAUUGGUCAAUGGGGGAAACCCUGAACCAGCAACGCCGCGUGAGGGAAGACGGUUUUCGGAUUGUAAACCUCUGUCCUCUGUGAAGAUGAUGACGGUAGCAGAGGAGGAAGCUCCGGCUAACUACGUGCCAGCAGCCGCGGUAAUACGUAGGGAGCAAGCGUUGUCCGGAUUUACUGGGUGUAAAGGGUGCGUAGGCGGCUUUGCAAGUCAGAAGUGAAAUCCAUGGGCUUAACCCAUGAACUGCUUUUGAAACUGCAGAGCUUGAGUGGAGUAGAGGUAGGCGGAAUCCCCGGUGUAGCGGUGAAAUGCGUAGAGAUCGGGAGGAACACCAGUGGCGAAGGCGGCCUGCUGGGCUCUAACUGACGCUGAGGCACGAAAGCGUGGGUAGCAAACAGGAUUAGAUACCCUGGUAGUCCACGCUGUAAACGAUGAUUACUAGGUGUGGGUGGACUGACCCCAUCC
rnacentral:rRNA from 1 species